AGUGGCAUCUGAACUACUAUUCUUUUGUGCAUGUGUGCUAGUACCUGGACCUGAACUCAGGACCUGAUCUUGCAUAGCUUUCUCGCUCAUGGCUGGCACUCUACCACUUGAGAAUGAGGUCAGUCCUACAUUAUUAUUUUGAUGAAAUCUUUAUUUGGGGGGAAGUGGGAGGUGAGUAAUGGGGUUUCAACUCAGUGCCUUGCACUUUCUAGGCUUGUGCUCUAUCACUGAGCAACAACUCCAACCCUUUCUUCUUGCACUGGUUAUUUUGCGUGUGCCGGUAUGGGGACCUGAACCUGGCAUUUCAAACUCUCUUUAAGGCUUCUUUUUUAUUCAUAGCUGGUGCUCUACCACUUGAGCCAUCCCUCUAGUUCAGCACUUUGCUAAGUAAUUGGAGAUGGUUUUUGAAUCAUGAUUCUCCACAUCUCAGCCUCCUGAGUAACUAGGAUUACAGGUGGGAGUCACUGCCACCCAGCUAGGCUCUCACAUUUUGCUAAGUAUGGAACCUGGACCCUGUGAACCAGGUCCCAA